rnacentral:rRNA from 1 species
UACGGAGGGGGAUAGCGUUGUUCGGAAUUACUGGGCGUAAAGCGCACGUAGGCGGCUUUGUAAGUUAGAGGUGAAAGCCCGGGGCUCAACUCCGGAACUGCCUUUAAGACUGCAUCGCUUGAACAUCGGAGAGGUAAGUGGAAUUCCGAGUGUAGAGGUGAAAUUCGUAGAUAUUCGGAAGAACACCAGUGGCGAAGGCGACUUACUGGACGAUUGUUGACGCUGAGGUGCGAAAGCGUGGGGAGCAAACAGG